UGAUGCAGCAACGCCGCGUGUGCGAUGAAGGCCUUCGGGGUCGUAAAGCACUUUUUCUGAGAGAUGAGCAAGGACAGUAUCUCAGGAAUAAGUCUCGGCUAACUACGUGCCAGCAGCCGCGGUAAAACGUAGGAGGCAAGCGUUAUCCGGAUUCACUGGGCGUAAAGCGCGUGCAGGCGGUUCGGUAAGUUGGGUAUGAAAUCUCCUGGCUUAACUAGGAGAGGUUAUCCAAUACUACCGGACUUGAGAGUGGUAGAGGAAGAUGGAAUUCCCGGUGUAGUGGUGAAAUGCGUAGAUAUCGGGAGGAACACCAGUGGCGAAAGCGAUCUUCUGGACCAUUUCUGACGCUCAGACGCGAAAAGCUAGGGUAGUAAACGGGAUUAGAGACCCCGGUAAUCCUAGCCGUAAACGAUGUAAACUUGGCGUCGGUGGCUUAAACACCAUCGGUGCCGCAGCUAACGCGAUAAGUUUACCGCCUGGGGACUACGAUCGCAAGAUUAAAACUCAAAGGAAUUGACGGGG
rnacentral:rRNA from 1 species